UUUUUAAAUCUAAGUUGCAGCUCUGCACGCGUGUGUAUCUAGGUAUCAUAACAAAAGAAAUCAAAAUGGCUUCGUCAACAGACGGGGGUAAGUGAACGCUAUUGCUCUUAAUUUCUUUCAAUUUUACGACUAUUUAUUUAAUGAAAAAU